CCUUCGCUACACAAAGGGUGGUGGGGGUGUGGAACAAGCUGCCCAGCCCUGUGGUUGAAGCCCCUACCCUGGCUGCUCUCAAGACCCAGCUGGGUGAGACCCUCCAGUCAGUACAGGAGGCCCUUCUUUACACAGAGGGAGGUGGGGGUGUGGAACAAGCUGCCCAGCCAGGUUGUUGAAGCCGAAACCCUGGUUUCUUUUAAGAAAUGUCUGGAGGGGAUCCUGGGAUCCACUCUGUCCCUACCUCUGAGCAAUUGAGAGACGCCAAUUAACCUAAUCAGCGAGCCUUUUUAUUAGAUGGGGGGCAGAGCGCGCAUAUUCCACGCAGAAGGAAUCCACCAGGAACCCAGAACCCGAGAUCCGUCGCUGGGCCGGCGGCCGCCACUCCAUCGUCUCGAAUCGGCAGUUUCUCUCGACACGUCUCUUAAUGCUGUUCGGAAAUAAAAAAACAGCCCAGCGUCGCUUCCAGGUGCCGACCGCCUGUGGGGAAUUAAGGGCGCCGGUUCCUGAUUGACUCGCCGAUAGGUCUUCAAUAAAACACUCUCUCGUCGGCUCUGAAGAGCAGAGGUCGGUCUCGGGAGGAGCGAUCUGGCUGAUGAGCGGUUCAGCUGUGCCGAGUUAAGAAGCGCUUUGCUUUGCAGGCGCAUCAAACGCGCCACCGGCCUGGCUCCCAGCUGUGCAAACGAUAAAGAGACGUUUCGCCGGCGGGGGGGCAGGAGUUAAGAGACCGGGCCGACGAGCCGUUAAGCCCUUGCACGCCCACGCAGCGUCGCUGGAGGAAACGCGACCGGACCCGGCGCCCGCCCCUCUCCCCGGUUGGAGUCGGGGGGUCUGGGCGGGGACGGUGGACGCAGGCGAGGCCGGUGCCUCACCCAGCCCCGCAGGCCCCGCAGGCCCCGCGGGGACUGGAGAGACCGGGAGACCACACGGCGGGCUUCUGCCUUUAUUCCCUUUUCUUCCACGGAGGAAUGGACAUCGCCCCGAGCGAGAAAUUGACACGCUGGUGGGCCUGAGGCAGCUGGACGUGUCCCUGCUCCGCCCCCAGCUCGCCGGACCAGGGGAUCAAGGGGAUCAUUCCGCAUCCCGCUGGGAGAUCGGUGGCGGAGCUGCCCGGUGUCCCCUCACCCUCACGCUAUCAGCCUGGCUGUAGGGGUGCCGACCCUGGUCAUCAGGCCAGGGCUUCCUGGUCACUGGGUCACUCAGGCAGCAGCUGGGCGAGGACCUCCAGUCGGGACAGAAGGCCCCUCUUUACACAAAGGA
rnacentral:lncRNA from 1 species